UCUGAUAGUCUAGUCAUCGUAGAUUUAGACGUAGAAAAAAUUGCAAAAGAAAUGUUUUAAUGUCUAUCAAAUACAACUGUCGCCAAAAAACACUAUAUCAAAAGUUGCAUAAAAAAGUCCUUGCCCCUUCGCGGAUAAACGCAAAUGAUUUUAUUUUUAAAUCGGUAUUUUGAAGAUGUCCAUCCCUUUCCACCAUCGUGACGUAUUUUUAGCAGAGCGCAGGUACUACGUCAUCAAAAUGGCGGUUCAAUGACGAUAUUACUGCCCGGAUUUUUUUAAAACUACCCGUUUUGUAAGAAGAUGUUUUGAAAAGGUAAACUUUAAUGUUUAAAUUGUUUUAUUUAUUCACUUUAAGCAGUAUGUGUACUUUAUUAGGGCCAGAGAACAUUUUAAAACUUCAAAAAUAUGAAAAAUACUCGAGCAAACUUGGAAUCAUGAAAAGUCACAGGAUUUUGCUUUUUUAGCUAUUUGUUGUGUUUUUUAAAAGAAAGAAGGGAAAUGUGACCAGAGCUUGAACAUAUAAAACUUAUCGCAACUCUUAAAUUAAAAAAAAAUAAUGAGAAAACAAUAUUUUUAAAUGAAAUUCUGUCUGAUUUUUUUUCCUACGGAAGCGCAUAAGGACCAUAAUUACAAGUAUUUUUUAUAAUAUUCAAACAAUUUAUAUCGAGAAUUUUUAGUUAAAAAUAAUUGUAUACGUAAUGUUUUAAAUGUUAAACGUAGAAAUAUUGUUUCAGGGUGAUACAUCUAGACUGUUUUGUUUGGUACAUCCAGAAUUUAUUGAAGGUGUGAGGCUUGAUCUGUUGUUUGUAUGUUGGGGAAUAAUGUUAUAAUACACUGAUUUCCAGAUUAAGAUAGGGCGAUACAUCUAGACUGUUUUGUUUGGUACAUCCAGAAUUUAUUGAAGGUGUGAGGCUUGAUCUGUUGUUUGUAUGUUGGGGAAUAAUGUUAUAAUACACUGAUUUCCAGAUUAAGAUAGGAAGGAGACUUACGAGGACUUACCAGCUUUUAUAAAGGACAAUGACACACAAAAGAAAGCCAGAUUGAUAACUUAUACAAUGGAUACGGCAUGUGCCAUUUGUAAAAAAAGUAUCGAAGAAGGCCAAGACGUUUCAUUAAUCGGCGAUAAAGGUAGCAAUGCAAUAAAUCAUAAGAGUAGCUUGAAAGGGGAUAAUAUUACAACACAGCCUGGUCAGCCCGUGCAUAAAGUUUGUCGGAGGGAUUACAUUAACAAGCGCCAAAGUGUUCUCACUCUACCUGGUAGCUUCAACUCUCCAAGAAGUUUGCGCCCCAUUACAUGUGUUUCAUUUGAUUAUAGAAACAAAUGCCUAUUUUGUUCAACUGAUGCAAAAAUUACAAACAGAAAACGUGGCCAUGAUGUAUUUCAAGUAAGAACUCUAGAUUUCCAAAAGGCAAUAGUGAAAAAAUGUGAAGAAAGAAAUGAUAACUGGUCUAUGACUGUGCUAGGUCGAAUCGAAAACAUUAUAGACUAACCAGCUGCAGAUGCAGUGUACCAUCAAACUUGUAAUGUAAAUUUUCGAACAGGCAGGUCAAUUCCCAAGCCUUUUGAGUCCGACGAUGUAAAGAAGAUUUUAUUGAGCGUUAAAAGUCCCGGGAGACAAAUAAAUGACAUACAAAAU